UACGUAGGGCGCAAGCGUUGUCCGGAAUUAUUGGGCGUAAAGAGCUCGUAGGCGGCUUGUCACGUCGGGUGUGAAAGCCCGGGGCUUAACCCCGGGUCUGCAUUCGAUACGGGCUAGCUAGAGUGUGGUAGGGGAGAUCGGAAUUCCUGGUGUAGCGGUGAAAUGCGCAGAUAUCAGGAGGAACACCGGUGGCGAAGGCGGGUCUCUGGGCCGAUACUGACACUGAGAGACGAAAGCUAGGGGAGCGAAUGGG
rnacentral:rRNA from 1 species